CAGUCGCCGCGGGAAUACGAAGGGUGCAAGCGUUAAUCGGAAUUACUGGGCGUAAAGCGUGCGUAGGCGGUGAGUUAAGUCUGCUGUGAAAUCCCCGGGCUCAACCUGGGAAUGGCAGUGGAUACUGGCUCGCUAGAGUGUGUCAGAGGAUGGUGGAAUUCCCGGUGUAGCGGUGAAAUGCGUAGAGAUCGGGAGGAACAUCAGUGGCGAAGGCGGCCAUCUGGGACAACACUGACGCUGAGGCACGAAAGCGUGGGGAGCAAACAGGAUUAGAUACCCCGGUAGUCCCUGUCUCUUAUAC
rnacentral:rRNA from 1 species